rnacentral:misc_RNA from 1 species
GUAUAUAGUUUUAUGGGCACAAAGACCCUUUGAUUACAUUCUGUGACAUACUACAAUGUUUGUGGAAAAGACAUAGACCCGGAAGGGGGGGCAUGUGAGCUUCACCGCUCUUCCCCCUCCAAGACUACAAAUGGUGCACAGUGGGAUAGAUAAAGACAGCAGGUGUGCACAUGCUUCAAGAAGCCAGCAACAACCCACCAUAGUUAUUCAAUAAUGAUCCUUCCGCAGGUUCACCUACGGAAA